rnacentral:rRNA from 1 species
GAUGAACGCUGGCGGCGUGCCUAAUACAUGCAAGUCGAGCGAACAGACGAGGAGCUUGCUCCUCUGACGUUAGCGGCGGACGGGUGAGUAACACGUGGAUAACCUACCUAUAAGACUGGGAUAACUUCGGGAAACCGGAGCUAAUACCGGAUAAUAUAUUGAACCGCAUGGUUCAAUAGUGAAAGACGGUUUUGCUGUCACUUAUAGAUGGAUCCGCGCCGCAUUAGCUAGUUGGUAAGGUAACGGCUUACCAAGGCAACGAUGCGUAGCCGACCUGAGAGGGUGAUCGGCCACACUGGAACUGAGACACGGUCCAGACUCCUACGGGAGGCAGCAGUAGGGAAUCUUCCGCAAUGGGCGAAAGCCUGACGGAGCAACGCCGCGUGAGUGAUGAAGGUCUUCGGAUCGUAAAACUCUGUUAUUGGGAAGAACAAAUGUGUAAGUAACUAUGCACGUCUUGACGGUACCUAAUCAGAAAGCCACGGCUAACUACGUG